GUUCUGAAACCAGCGUCUCUGGUUACAACCAAAGAGGUUGCUCAGUCACACUCCUGAAAGGCAAAAGGAGGUUGGCCAGUAAAAAAGAUGUAAACCCUAGAUGUAGUUCUUAGUGUGGAAGCCACAGGAGAACUUCCAAUGUGGCCACGGGGAUCGCCGAGGCUUUUAUGCAGGGGGAGUUCAGCCUACACCCAGGAAUGCACAAGGACAGCUUGGAGCUUAGAAGCAAGUGGAGUUGGUUCAUCUCUUUCACUGGCUCAUAAUUUUGCAACGGCGGUUUCAUCUCUACCCUGACAAUACCUUUUAGUUUUCUUACCCACUGGGGUCGAGACUUAAUUGAAGACCUCAGACGGACAGCAUAACACGGAACCUGAGACCUUGAUUUGCGGGGACAGGCUUAAAGUGUAUUCUGGAGUUGGUGCCCCCACCCCAGGGGCCGGCUCAGAGGGUUCACUUUCCAGCCUAACGGCAGGGGAACCAGAGGCUGCCGACCUGGAUCUCACCUUGAUGGAGGUCUUGUCACCUUCCUCCUUGGCUGGAGAGACAGACUGUGGAUGCUCUCCUGCUGGCCACCCAAAAACAACAAACAGACAAACAAAUAUGAAUGAGGAAAACUUGAAGAGGCCCCACGUGCCAGAGGUGGGACAGCUUGAGAUUUGGUGAGGAUAAUUGCAGUGGCUCAAAACCCAUAAAGAAGUUUAAGUCCAUGAGUUCACCGUAAUCUGAAACAAAAACAAAAACAAAAACAAAUUGAUCAUCUUUGGAGGCUAACAAUCAAUUCAUUAUCUAGAGACAGGACAGAGGCUCACUAGUGGCACGAUCUUGGCUGAUUGCAUCUUCCACCUCCUGGGUUCAAGAGAUUCUUGUGCCUUAGCUUCCUGAGUAGCUAAGAUUACAGGUGUGCACCACCACGCCCGGCUAAUUUUUGUAUUUUUAGUUGAGAUGAGGUUUCACCAUGUUGGCCAGGCUGGUCUCGAACUCCUGACCUCAAGUGAUCUGCCCGCCCCGGCCUCCCAAAGUGCUGGGAUUACAGGCGUGAGCUACUGUGGCCGGCCACAUUUCCCUUCUGGUGCGCGUCCUCCUGUAGCUGUGGGAUCAGGGGAGGUAGAGAUGUCUUGUAACUGACUCAAGUUUGGCUGCUUGCCGCAGGAGAAGCGAGGUGUGGUGAAAGGAAAGCAACUUUUAUUCAGAUGCUAGCAGGUGGGAGAGUGGCCAGGCUCAAGGCUCUAAGGAACCAUCUCAGCUUUUUGGACUGCGUGAAGGGCUUUAGGAAGGAGAACUCGGUGUGGGAGACAUGUGGGAGUAGGGCAGUGGUGCAGGUGUCUUGAGUAAUUGCCCAUCCGGAGGUCUAGUUGGCAUCAUCUUGACCUUGGUCUGGUGGUGGUGGACUCAUUGUUCAUAACUCCCCUAGACAGGAGGAUUCCACAGCUGGGUUCUAUGCCUGGUUUAUUUAAAAAUGAGCCCCUGGCAUUUCUAAGCAGGCACAGAAUGAGAUAAGUGAGCACUGUGGCUGGUGGGAAAGGGAGGGAAACAGGUUUAAAGUAUGUUUCAAGGCUGCAUUCUGAGACUAGGAGGGAAAGGAAGAAAAACUUUAAAAUUCUUCUCAAGGCUGAGAUAUUUGACUACAGUCUCAUGCCCAAAAUGUUUCUAUUCUACACUGAGACCUGAUAGAUAAUUUGGCUGCAUACCUGGAGUCCAGUGUGUGCACCUGCCCCUCCCAUCCCAUACUCGCAGCCAGUGGAAAAGUCUGCAAAAGGAAGCCAGCUGGGAGUGCCCACCAGAGUCAAAGUCUGGGGCAGGCUGGUGGACUCAAGAGGAGUCUUAAAUAUUGGAAAUGUCAUCACAAACCAUCUGGGAAGCCCCCUCCUCUUAAAAAGGACAUAAAGUCAAAGUGAACAGGUGUGCUCACUCCAAGCCCGUGCCCACAACCACAGUGCCCUUCACAUUCAGAGUCAUGGCCACUAGCCACAAAAUUGUGACUUACAGUUCACAAAAUUGGGACAUAUUUACAUGUUGACUAAGUUGGGAAAUAAUUUGGAUUUUCUUUAAAAGUAGUAAAAGUAAAGAAGAAAAAGUCAAAAAGGUCUGACAUCUAAGAGGGUGAAAUUUCCUUACUUUAGAUCACAAGCAAUCAGGCUGAUCCCGCCUGAGCCCUGAGCUCCCUGGGACCCAGCAGCAGCUGUGCAUUGGCACGUGGUGCCCUGUGUCUGAUCAGCUGACUCCUCAGGCAAAACCUGCACCAUUUUCACCAGAAUUGCAGAUGUCCUCAGUGUCAUUACAAAGUUCCUAAGUCAUGACCAUUCUGUCCUGUGGAACCAGGCUGGACUAAGCUCCCAUUUCUUUAAGCCAUCCUGUCCCCUGCAGGGACUUCCAAGGUGGAGCUGAUGAGCAAUAGUUAUGAGUCAUUGGAGGAGACAUCCCAGAGGCGCCAGCUCCCCUCUGCCCUAAACUGAAAUUAAGACCUGGUGCUCUGGGUGGGGCCCCUGGAAGGGGAUGUGCAACUCAGAGGGGACCUUCUCCACCUCCACCCAGGAGACCCCAGAGGGACCAUGGCAGAGCCGGAGCCCUCUUUUUUUUUGUUCGUUUUUUAUUUUAUUAUUAUUAUACUUUAAGUUUUAGCCCUCUUUUAAAAACCAAAUGAAAAUAAGCAAAAGAAGCCAAUCGUCUCUGUGAAAUGUCCAGAAGAGGGAACUCUGUAGAGACAGAGAGGAUAUUAUUGGCUGCCGGAGGCUGGGAAUGGGAAGGUGAGGGGCCUGGGGAGGUGAUGGUUAAAAGAUUCUUCUUUGUGGUGAUGAAAUUGUCUUAAAAUGGACUGUGGUGAUAGUUGUGCAACUUGGUGAAUAUAUAAGUUAUUGAAUUGUACACUUUAAAUGGGUGAAUUGUAUGGUGUGUGAAACAUAUCUCAAUAAAGCUGUUAUUUGAAAAAUAAAU
rnacentral:lncRNA from 1 species